CACGGAGUCCUUGGCCCUCAGUGGGGAACUUCUUUCUGGACAGUACCUCCCACGAAGAAAUUACUGCUCUUGCUUUCAAUUUGAAUAGAAAUAAACUUUUGUGCAACUCAGGGCGAUAACAAACUUAUUUAUUGCAGCAUCUUUAUGAAGUCCUGGGAGGAUGGUUGAGUUGUGAUAAGCGGCGAGUCUGUUUUGUGUCGUUUCAAAGCCUUUGCACAAGGAAUUGCUUUUGAAGUCAAUGACCGUGCCGGAUUUAGAAACCGUUCUAGACGUAGUCUGUGUUUGUGGAGCGGGGUGGAUGAGACUCAGAUCCGCAGACUUCCCAACGCGACAACCAUGUACUGAACACGAGAAAUAGAAAAGGAGGGCUCAGCCAUCGAGUUCCAUGAUGGAUCACCCCUAUCAAGAGGAAUGUAAAUAUCCAGCCACUGCCAAAGGUUCUGAAAUGGGCAAUAGGCAGGAACAGA
rnacentral:lncRNA from 1 species